AAACUCAAAUGAAUUGACGGGGGCCCGCACAAGCGGUGGAGCAUGUGGUUUAAUUCGAUGCAACGCGAAGAACCUUACCUACUCUUGACAUCCAGAGAAGCCAGCGGAGACGCAGGUGUGCCUUCGGGAGCUCUGAGACAGGUGCUGCAUGGCUGUCGUCAGCUCGUGUUGUGAAAUGUUGGGUUAAGUCCCGCAACGAGCGCAACCCUUAUCCUUGUUUGCCAGCGAGUAAUGUCGGGAACUCCAGGGAGACUGCCGGUGAUAAACCGGAGGAAGGUGGGGACGACGUCAAGUCAUCAUGGCCCUUACGAGUAGGGCUACACACGUGCUACAAUGGCGCAUACAGAGGGCGGCAAACUUGCGAGAGUGAGCGAAUCCCAAAAAGUGCGUCGUAGUCCGGAUUGGAGUCUGCAACUCGACUCCAUGAAGUCGGAAUCGCUAGUAAUCGUAGAUCAGAAUGCUACGGUGAAUACGUUCCCGGGCCUUGUACACACCGCCCGUCACACCAUGGGAGUGGGCUGCAAAAGAAGUGGGUAGUUUAACCUUUCGGGGAGGACGCUCACCACUUUGUGGUUCAUGACUGGGGUGAAGUCGUAACAAGGUAGCCCUAGGGGAACCUGGGGCUGGAUCACCUCCUUA
rnacentral:rRNA from 1 species